AUGGCAGUCUGAGACUGACAAACAGUCAAGAAAAAAAAGGAGAGAAAAUGGCACAAGGGAAGCUGCACCUUGACGAUGGAUAUACCGCAAUACACUAUAUAAUCCCUUUACAAAAAAAAACACAAAGGGAGCCUUUGUUGCACAUAUCCUGAAUACCUCAAGAUGGUGACAGAUUGGUACUGAAGACAGAUCUAACCUGCUGCUGUGAUUGGUGUUUAACUCAGUCCAACAGCGAGUCCAACAUUACCAUAUACUUUCCUGUCUGGAACCUUUACAGAUUUUUCCUGAUUUUGUUCCCUUCAGCAUAGAGAAGUCAGAAGAAGACCUAUCAUCUUUAGGACCAGUUGAAGAUUUCCUCCACUUUGUAUUUUUUGACGUCUCUUGACAACACCAGUAGUAUGGACAAAUGGUUAUCAAAGUUAGAAUCCAGUAACUGGUUAUCGCAUGUCAAAGAUAUAGUAAAGUGUGCUUGUACUGUAGCAAAGAAGUAUAGAUU